AGAGUAGGACAAAUGGCCGCUGCCCGGCACUCAUAAAAUUGAGUCCCGGGGGGAGGAAAGUCCGGGCUCCAUAGGACAGGGUGCUGGGUAACGCCCAGUCCUGGCGACAGGAAGGAAAGUGCCACAGAAAACAAACCGCCCGGCACUCAGCUCCGUUUUCGAAACCAGCAAUCGAGGAUAAAGCCUUUUUGAAGAAAUUGUUCUGAUUUAUGCUGCGUGCUUCUUUUUGUGCUGGGUGCCGGGUAAGGGUGAAAAGGUGAGGUAAGAGCUCACCAGUCCUACCGGUGACGGUAGGAGCUAGGCAAACCCCACCCGGAGCAAGACCAAAUAGGGGAGCGUUUGAGGGCAGUCCACCCGAGUUCCCGGGUAGGUCGCUUGACCCUGGUGGUAACAUCAGGGCUAGAUGAAUGGCCAUUGUCCGGGGAACGUUUUUUCGUACCCCGGAAACAGAACCCGGCUUAUGGCCUGCUCUAACA
rnacentral:RNase_P_RNA from 1 species